rnacentral:rRNA from 1 species
AAAAGCUUUCUUUAAUUGAAUAAUUGAAUUUAAUUUUUUAGUGCAAAAGCAAAAAUAAAAAUUAGGGACAAGAAGACCCUAUGAAUUUUUUAUUAAAUUUUAUAAAACUUUAUAUAAAAUUUAAUUUAAUUGGGGUGAUGGAAAAAGAAUAAAUAUCUUUUUUUAAAAGAAAAUUGGUUCCGUUCUUAGCGAUUAAAUGAAAAAAAUACUCUAGGGAUAACAGCGUAAUAAUUUUGGAUAGUUCACAUAGAUAAAAUAGUUUGCGACCUCGAUGUUGGAUUAGGAUUCUUUUUUGGUGAAGAAGUUAAAAAAAGAAGUUUGUUCAACUUAUAAUUUCCUACUUGAUCUGAGUUCAGACCGG